rnacentral:lncRNA from 1 species
GAUGAUUGAAUCAUGUGAGUGAGUCUUUCCUGUACUGUCCUCGUGGUAGUGAAUGGGUCGCAUGAGAUGUGAUGGUUUUAAAAACAGGAGCUUCUGUGCACAAGCUCUCUCUUUGCCUGCUGCCAUCCACAUAAGAUGUGACCUGCUCCUUCUUGCUUGGCCAUCCUUCCAGGAUGAGGACAUGAAACUGGCUCCUUGCCCUUCUUGCUGCUUGAGUGGCAAACCUCGGGUCAUCCCUAGGUCUUGUAAAAAGAAUAUGGAAAAGAAAGGUCAUUCUGAUAAGUCUCAGAUGGAAAUGAAGAACAUGUUAUUGGAAACUGGAGGAAAGGCGACAUUUGUCACAAAGUGACAAAGAACUUGACUGCAUUGUGUUCAUGCCCAAGUGUUUUCUGGAAGGCAGAACUUAUGAAUAAUGAGACUGAAAUUUGCUAGAAGAAAUAUCUAAGCAAAGUAUUGAAGGAGCAGCUUGAUUCUCUUGAAUGUGUAUGGGAAAAUGAAAGAAAAGAGGAAUGAUUUAGAGACAGAAGUUAUCAAAAGGGAAGCAGAACUUAAAGAUUUGGGAAAUUUUUAGCCUUCUCAGCCUGUCCAUAUUUUAACAAAUAAAGUGUGGGAGAGAACACAAAGGU